UCUCUGGAUUUCAUGACUAGGCAGGGGCGCAGCCAUGGGUGGGCCUGGGAGGGCAUAGGACUACUCACAGCCAGGUCCAGCCAAUCAGAAUAAGUUUUUCCCCACAAAGAAGAAUCUCAAAUAUAGGUGAGGAGGAUUAUUUAAGACACUGUUUGAACCACAAACGUUUAUAAACUUUAGGGUAAUAUCAAAAGUAAGUAAAGCCAUUGUUUAUAGGGAAAACACGAGCAGAAGAGUAAUUAAGAGUAAGUAUGAGCAGAAAAGUAAAUAAAGCCAUUGUUUGUAGGGAAAAUACGAGCAGAAGAGCAAAUGUAAACAAGGGAAAAAAUGCACUACCCUCCCCUGCGCUGCCAAAUAAACACACAACACUCCUGAAGCAAAAAAAAGAUUGACAACCCUCCCCUAUUUUGGACCACCCCUACCCUCAGUACAUUUCGAUCUGUCCCUUAAUGAGUAAAGUAUUUGUCACCAUCACUACUUAGCACAGUCAAAAAGUCAUAAUUAUUUCUAAACCCUGACCAUUUCCACAAUUUAUCAUCUUAAAAUUUGACCACGUAGACACUUCUCAUAAAUGCCUACAGACAAGUGUCAUUGGGGCUUUUCCUGCACUCACUCUAGCGUUCUUCUAAGACUACCUCUAGCCUUCUAAGACUAUGGUCCUUUCUUCAUUUUUAUGUCUAGUUUAAUUGGUUUUAUUAUUUUUAGACAAAUUCAUUUAAAUUGACUUACUGAAAUUCAGUAAACGUGUCCCUCAGAGGUUCGCAGAUCAGGUAACUUCCCCUGAGCAGAUCACAGUAAAAGUCUGGUCUGGGCAGGUCCACGUCAUCUUUGAUCAGACGGGAAUUUCCCUUACACCUUCACAUGGAAUGCGCCACCGGUGUUCUCUCGCACACCUUCACUGGGAUGCUCCACCGGUGUUCUCUCGCAGACCUUCACUGGGAUGCUCCACCGGUGUUCUCUCGCAGACCUCCACAGGUGUUCUCUCGCAGACCUUCACUGGGAUGCUCCACAGGUGUUCUCUCGCAGACCACUGGGAUGCUCCACCGGUGUUCUCUCGCAGACCUUCACUGGGAUGCUCCACCGGUGUUCUCUCGCAGACCUUCACUGGGAUGCUCCACCGGUGUUCUCUCGCAGACCUCCACAGGUGUUCUCUCGCAGACCUUCACUGGG
rnacentral:lncRNA from 1 species